UACGUAUGGAGCAAGCGUUAUCCGGAUUUACUGGGUGUAAAGGGAGUGUAGGUGGCCAGGCAAGUCAGAAGUGAAAACCCGGGGCUCAACCCCGGGACUGCUUUUGAAACUGCAGGGCUAGAGUGCAGGAGGGGCAAGUGGAAUUCCUAGUGUAGCGGUGAAAUGCGUAGAUAUUAGGAGGAACACCAGUGGCGAAGGCGGCUUGCUGGACUGUAACUGACACUGAGGCUCGAAAGCGUGGGGAGCAAACAGG
rnacentral:rRNA from 1 species